AUUGAACGCUGGCGGCAGGCCUAACACAUGCAAGUCGAGCGGAUGAAGGGAGCCUGCUCCUGGAUUCAGCGGCGGACGGGUGAGUAAUGCCUAGGAAUCUGCCUGGUAGUGGGGGAUAACGUCCGGAAACGGGCGCUAAUACCGCAUACGUCCUGAGGGAGAAAGUGGGGGAUCUUCGGACCUCACGCUAUCAGAUGAGCCUAGGUCGGAUUAGCUAGUUGGUGGGGUAAAGGCCUACCAAGGCGACGAUCCGUAACUGGUCUGAGAGGAUGAUCAGUCACACUGGAACUGAGACACGGUCCAGACUCCUACGGGAGGCAGCAGUGGGGAAUAUUGGACAAUGGGCGAAAGCCUGAUCCAGCCAUGCCGCGUGUGUGAAGAAGGUCUUCGGAUUGUAAAGCACUUUAAGUUGGGAGGAAGGGCAGUAAGUUAAUACCUUGCUGUUUUGACGUUACCAACAGAAUAGGCACCGGCUAACUUCGUG
rnacentral:rRNA from 1 species